rnacentral:rRNA from 1 species
UAGGGAAUCUUCCGCAAUGGGCGAAAGCUUGACGGAGCAACGCCGCGUGAGUGAUGAAGGUCUUCGGAUCGUAAUACUCUGUUAUUAGGGAAGAACAAAUGUGUAAGUAACUAUGCACGUCUUGACGGUACCUAAUCAGAAAGCCACGGCUAACUACGUGCCAGCAGCCGCGGUAAUACGUAGGUGGCAAGCGUUAUCCGGAAUUAUUGGGCGUAAAGCGCGCGUAGGCGGUUUUUUAAGUCUGAUGUGAAAGCCCACGGCUCAACCGUGGAGAGUCAUUGGAAACUGGAAAACUUGAGUGCAGAAGAGGAAAGUGGAAUUCCAUGUGUGGCGGUGAAAUGCGCAGAGAUAUGGAGGAACACCAGUGGCGAAGGCGACUUUCUGGUCUGUAACUGACGCUGAUGUGCGAAAGCGUGGGGAUCAAACAGG